CCCCCCCCCCCCCCCAGCUUUUGAGAAAAACACACACACUUUUCCAUAGCUUCUAUUGUAGGUAACAUGAAUCCAUGAGACCUUGUAUGGUUAAAUUUUGAAAGAAAUAUAAGACAAUGAAAGUGACCAGUGCUUUAAUUUAAUUUUUUUUUUAGACCCGCUAUUUCAGCAUAUUUUUACAUUAGGCCUACUUUACUUUGAAUAUUAUAUCCAUUCAGAUCAAAUUUCUUAACUAAGGGUUUAGGCCUAUUGGUAGGAUAACAGUUACAAAAUAAAAUGUUCUCUAACAAAACAAAGGCAAUUUCUUUACAGAACAAUAACAACACACCCAGCUAAUUUAUUUGUAGAAGCACAUUAACCCAAAGCAUUCCUAAUCUCUUAAUCACUACAAGCAAAAGUUUGAAUUCUCUCAGGUGUUAGGCAGUAGUGGAUUACAAAUCUUACAAAGCAAAGAAAAAGAAAAGCUCGAGGAAAAAAAAAACCUACACAAGUCAUUAACACAGACACAUUUUUCAGAAUCAAUGACCCUGUAUGCCAAAAGAAGUUUGUAAAUACAGACAGACAAUAGUACAAGGGGAAAAACUUUGCAUAAUGUUUGCAUUUUUUAAAGUCCACAUUUGAAGAGUAUCUGACAUGUAGAUUUAGGAAAUUCACAGAAAAGGUUGAUUGAAAAACAGAACAAAACAGCCAUAUUAAAAAAAAA